GGGGACACUCCAGCAAGUGUUCUGUUCUUUCCUUCCUUUUAUCCUUUACCUCUUAUUUUUAUCUUUACUUUUGUCGUUGGAAGGUGAUAAGUGGUGCUGGAAUAUUUAAAAUAGAUAUAAAAAGUCCUGUGUGCCUCUCUCUGUAAGCAGCCUGAGGUGAUCUGUGAAAAUGGUCCGCUACUCUCUUGACCCAGAAAACCCUACAAAAUCAUGCAAAUCAAGCGGUUCAAAUCUUCGUGUUCACUUUUAAGAACACCCAUGAAACUGCUCAGGCCAUCAAGAGUAUGCAUAUCCGAAAAGCCACCAAGUACCUGAAAGAUGUCACUUUAAAGAAGUAGUAGAUGCUAUUCCGGCAUUACAAUGGUGGAGUUGGGAGGUGUGCCCAGGCCAAACAGUGGGCUGGACACAGGGCCGGUGGCCCAAAAAAAGUGCUGAAUUAUUGCUGCACAUGCUUAAAAAUGCAGAGAGUAAUGCUGAACUUAAGGGUUUAAACAUAGAUUCUUUGGUCAUUGAACACAUCCAGGUGAACAAAGCACCCAAGAUGGGCCGCCGUACUUACAGAGCUCAUGGUCGGAUUAGCCCAUACAUGAGUUUGUUCCUAAACCAGAAGAGGAGGUUGCACGGAAGAAAAAGAUAUCCCAGAAGAUGCUAAAGAAACAAAAACUUAUGGCACGGGAAUAAAUUCAGCAAAAAAUAAAUGCAAAUAAAAGACAAAAAAAUCCUGUGUGCUCCCUGCAUCUCACCAUCUUACUCUGCAGAGAGAGCGAGCACUAUCUGUGGUUAGUACACCUUCCAGGCUUUGGAAACCCAAAGCCCGUUCAUAUUUUGGUAUAUUCACAUUCUCACAUUCACAUGCACUCAUUCAUAUAAUUUUGUAAAAUGCUUCCACACUGCACCUUGCUUUUCCUCCUUAAUAAAUGCACCCUGCAGACCUCUUUACAUCAGAACUUGUCUAUGUCUCCAUAUUGAAUGAAUUACCUACUGAUGUCACUCAUUUUUGAAACUAAAAUAUUACCAAUGGUGCAUUAAAAGACUUCUCGAAGAAGUUUAUAUAUUG
rnacentral:lncRNA from 1 species